CGUAGGUGAACCUGCGGAAGGAUCAUUAACAAAUCCUAGCCGUCGUUGUUGCCUGCCGCGAUGCCGAUGGUGAAACACCGUGCACUGGAGACCGGAGGAUGGGAGUGCUGGUUCGGUUUUAAGGGAGGUGUGCGGCCGGCACUUAUGCUCGAGUGGGUGCCGCACUUAAAUCGAUGGAGAUCAAACGUGACACCGUGCACCGGGCCUCCAACCGAACCAUCCCUCCUUUGGUUUUUUGUCUUUGAACCCGCAAACUUUGUUGAUUUUUGGUAGAUUUGUACGUGUGGCAAAAAAGUUGACAACUUCUGACGGUGGAUCUCUUGGCUCGUGCAUCGAUGAAGAACGCAGCAAGCUGCGAUAUCUAGUGUGAAUUGCAGAAUUCAGUGAAUCAUCGAGUCUUUGAACGCAAAUGGCGCUCCCGGGGUCUCCUCGGGAGCAGGUCUGUCCGAGCGUCUGCCAACCGAAUCAGUCGUCGCCUAGCGGACGACGAGAUUGAGGGACUGCGGUGACGCCAUUGUGCCGCACUCCUUGAAGAGAGCCAGGAAUCCGUGCGGUCAAUGUGGGGCCGUGACGGUGUUACGACGAGACGGUCGUCACAACGGCGCAAGAAGUUGUGCGACCGAUUCUUGUGCGAUGGCCGUCACGUGUGCCCACCUGCACCCACGGUCUCAGGAAAGC
rnacentral:misc_RNA from 1 species